rnacentral:rRNA from 1 species
UCCUACGGGGGGCAGCAGUGAGGAAUAUUGCGCAAUGGGGGAAACCCUGACGCAGCAACGCCGCGUGGGUGAAGAAGGCUUUCGGGUUGUAAAGCCCUGUCAGGUGGGAAGAACCUUCUGCAGGUGAAUAGUCUGCGGAACUGACGGUACCACCAAAGGAAGCACCGGCUAACUCCGUGCCAGCAGCCGCGGUAAGACGGAGGGUGCAAGCGUUGUUCGGAAUCACUGGGCGUAAAGCGCGUGUAGGCGGUCCGAUAAGUCGAAUGUGAAAGCCCGAGGCUCAACCUCGGAAGUGCAUUCGAAACUGUCGGGCUUGAGUACGGGAGAGGGAAGUGGAAUUCCUGGUGUAGAGGUGAAAUUCGUAGAUAUCAGGAGGAACACCGGUGGCGAAGGCGGCUUCCUGGACCGAUACUGACGCUGAGACGCGAAAGCGUGGGGAGCAAACAGGAUUAGAAACCCCAGUAGUCCG